rnacentral:rRNA from 1 species
CAAUAGCGUAUAUUAAAGUUGUUGCGGUAAAAAAGCUCGUAGUUGGAUUUCUACCGAAGAUAGCCGGUCGGGUCUUCGACCUUGUAUCUGGUUUUGUCUUUGGUAUCCUCAUAGGGAACGUUUCUGCGCUUUAUCGCGUGGUGCGGUAUCUAUGACUUUUACUUUGAGGAAAUUAGAGUGUUCACGGCAGGCAAACGCCUUGAAUAUAUUAGCAUGGAAUAAUAACAUAGGAUCUUCGUCCUAUUUUGUUGGUUUCUAGGGCUAAGAUAAUGAUUAAUAGGGAUAAUUGGGGGCAUCUGUAUCAACGCGUCAGAGGUGGAAUUCUUGGAUUGCGUUGCGACAAACUACUGCGAAAGCAUUUGCCAAGGAUGUUUUCAUUGA